CGAUGAGGAGAGCUGCAGUUUUUCUGGCAUGGUUGCACUGUCUGCUCUGCACGGGGGCUCAGGAUGAGGAUGGAGGGGGGACCGGGAAGAAAGAGGUCCAUCCUAAGGUGGCGUUCUCUGUCGGUAUUACUGAAGAGGGAAAUGUUGGACCCUUCAACACUGAUAUCACACUUAAGUAUAGUAAAGUCUUUACCGAUAUCAGCCAGGCCUACAGCACAACCACAGUUCAGUAAUGCUUUACUGUCAACAUUUCAAGCGGAUUCUGUAUCCAGGUCUUUCCUGCAAAACUUACCACAACCAUAAAUGAGUUUCAAAAAGAAAACAGGACUUCAUCUGAAACAGAUCAGAGGAUGAUUGGACCGGAUCCAAAGUGUGCUCACCCUGAACCGACCCAAACAGAGAGCAGCCAGCGGUGGCAGCAGCCUGAUGCAAACCCAACUAACAAGCAGCAACACGCCACAGAAGACAUCUGUAGAUGGCGUAUGUGGAUAUGUGAAUAUAUAAAAGCAUAUAUACACCAAGGUAACUAAGUACAUUUACUCAAGUACUGUACUUCAGAACAAUUUUGAGGUACUUCCAUGUGACGUUAUACUUUUACUUUGUUACAUUUUGGAGGCAAUUGUUUACUUUUUACUCGCCAACAUUAAUAAUAAAAAGAAUGCUGGCUACUUCGCAGCUAUGGAUUUGUAAUACAGAAUAUAGAUCAACUGAUAAAUCAAUAUGUACAAUCAUAUGUUGAGCUACCAAGCAGGAUAGCAAGUCCCUUUGAUAAUCCCCACCUAUACCAGGAUAAUUCAUAUUAAUGCAUUAAUAAUAAUUAUUGUACAAAAAUGUAACAUUACUAAAUCCGAUAUGGAAAAUGAGUACUUUUACUUGUUGUGCUUGAAGUAUAAAUUGAUGCCAAUUGUUUUGUACUCUUUCUUGAGGGCAAUUUUGAAUGCAGGACUUUUGUAACGGAGUAUGUUUAGAUUGUAGUAUUGCUACUUUUACUUAAGUAAGAGUACUUCUUCUUUAUUAUAUAUUUAUUUUUUGUCUUUGUAUAGCUUUAGUAUUAUUCUUUAUUAUUUUGUAUUUAUUUAUUUGUUGUUAAUUUAGUUUGGUACAUCACUCUCUUACAUUUUGUAAUAUAUCUGGUCUGUUCUAUUUAUGAAGGUGGUUUAAAUAUUGUACGCCUUCAAGUAAAGAUCAACUAUGUAUGGCUUGUCAAUUGAUAUACCAUAGUAGAGACUAAGCUGAUCCCUAGCAGCUUUGAGCUGUACUAAUAUGUAUA